CACGUAGAGUGCAAGCGUUGUCCGGAAUCAUUGGGCGUAAAGCGCACGUAGGCGGCUUGGCAAGUCGGAUGUGAAAUCCCUCGGCUCAACCAAGGAAGUGCAUCCGAAACUGCUGAGCUUGAGUACUUAAGAGGAUCGCGGAAUUCCCGGUGUAGAGGUGAAAUUCGUAGAUAUCGGGAGGAACACCAGUGGCGAAGGCGGCGAUCUGGGAAGAUACUGACGCUGAGGUGCGAAAGCGUGGGGAGCAAACAGG
rnacentral:rRNA from 1 species